UACGUAGGUGGCAAGCGUUGUCCGGAAUUAUUGGGCGUAAAGCGCGCGCAGGCGGUCUCUUAAGUCUGAUGUGAAAGCCCCCGGCUCAACCGGGGAGGGUCAUUGGAAACUGGGAGACUUGAGUGCAGAAGAGAAGAGUGGAAUUUCACGUGUAGCGGUGAAAUGCGUAGAGAUGUGGAGGAACACCAGUGGCGAAGGCGACUCUUUGGUCUGUAACUGACGCUGAGGCGCGAAAGCGUGGGGAGCAAACAGG
rnacentral:rRNA from 1 species